rnacentral:rRNA from 1 species
GACGAACGCUGGCGGCGUGCCUAAUACAUGCAAGUCGAACGAACAGACUAGCAUUUUGCUUUUCUGAUGUUUGCGGCGGACGGGUGAGUCACACGUGUAUACCCUCCCUAUCUUACUGGUAUAACUUCGGGAAUCCGGCUCUAAUCUCGUAUAAUCUUCUGCACCGUGUUGUUCAUAAGUGAAAUACGGUCUUUCUGUCUCUUAUAGAUGGUUCCGCGCUGUAUUAGCUAGUUGGUACGGUAACGGCUUAUCACGGCAACGAUGCAUAGCCGACCUGAGAGGGUGAUAGGCCACACUGGAAGUGAGACACGGACCAGAGUCCUAAGGGAGGAAGCAGUAGGGAAUCGUCGGCAAUGGGCGAGAGCAUGACGGAGCAAAGCGGCGUGAGAGAUGAAGGUCUUGGGAGCGGAAAAAGCUGUUAUGAGGUAAGAACAUAUGUGUAAGUAAAUGAGCAGAGAUUGACGGUACUUAAUAAGAAAGCAACGGCUAACUACGUG